AGAGUUUGAUCAUGGCUCAGAUUGAACGCUGGCGGCAUGCCUUACACAUGCAAGUCGAACGGCAGCACGGGAGCAAUCCUGGUGGCGAGUGGCGAACGGGUGAGUAAUAUAUCGGAACGUGCCCAGUCGUGGGGGAUAACGCAGCGAAAGCUGUGCUAAUACCGCAUACGAUCUAUGGAUGAAAGCGGGGGACUCGCAAGAGCCUCGCGCGAUUGGAGCGGCCGAUAUCAGAUUAGCUUGUUGGUGGGGUAAAAGCCCACCAAGGCGACGAUCUGUAGCUGGUCUGAGAGGACGACCAGCCACACUGGAACUGAGACACGGUCCAGACUCCUACGGGAGGCAGCAGUGGGGAAUUUUGGACAAUGGGCGCAAGCCUGAUCCAGCAAUGCCGCGUGCAGGAUGAAGGCCUUCGGGUUGUAAACUGCUUUUGUACGGAACGAAACGGCUCUUUCUAAUAAAGAGGGCUAAUGACGGUACCGUAAGAAUAAGCACCGGCUAACUACGUGCCAGCAGCCGCGGUAAUACGUAGGGUGCGAGCGUUAAUCGGAAUUACUGGGCGUAAAGCGUGCGCAGGCGGUUAUAUAAGACAGAUGUGAAAUCCCCGGGCUCAACCUGGGACCUGCAUUUGUGACUGUAUAGCUAGAGUACGGUAGAGGGGGAUGGAAUUCCGCGUGUAGCAGUGAAAUGCGUAGAUAUGCGGAGGAACACCGAUGGCGAAGGCAAUCCCCUGGACCUGUACUGACGCUCAUGCACGAAAGCGUGGGGAGCAAACAGGAUUAGAUACCCUGGUAGUCCACGCCCUAAACGAUGUCAACUGGUUGUUGGGUCUUCACUGACUCAGUAACGAAGCUAACGCGUGAAGUUGACCGCCUGGGGAGUACGGCCGCAAGGUUGAAACUCAAGGAAUUGACGGGGACCCG
rnacentral:rRNA from 1 species